AUUCUUUAGUUCACUUUUCAAUCUUCAUUCGGUCUUCUACUCUUCUUCCUUUGCUUCGCCGCCGCUUCGCCCUUUUGUUUUUCAGCCAACAAUCUUCCUCCAUAGCCUGCCCCUGCUUCACCUUCACGGCUUCACCACCACCUUCAGUUGCUGAUCAGAAGCAAGAUGAUGGUUUUGAUGAGUUUGAUCCUCGUAGCUCAUUUUCAGGCUCGUUAGUUGGCUUUGUUGCACGUUGCAGUGAUGAGCUCGUUGGCUGUUGCAGUGUUUCUCUCUUUGUUGUCUAAAAAUUGGUAGUAGCAUUUUCGUUAUUUUGGUCCAUUAGGAGAUUGCAGAGGGAUUCAAUUGAAUGAGGCAGUAAAAGAAUUUGGAAUAAGAAAGAACAGAACUAAGAGCUGCCAAUCUCAUAUGAUUGAUUCUUUAACUGAAACUAUGAAAGGCACUCUUCAAGAAAGAACCAAGCAGAUGCUAGUUGGCUAUGUUUGACCUUUCGCAAUCAUUUGUUUCAUUAAGAAUAUUUCCACUUGGAUGCAAAAGCAGAAUGAUGCAAUAGCAUAAUCCUCCACAUGCCACCGCA